AAAACCUCAAACCCUCAUCUCUCUCUCAUCUCUCAACCGAUUUGGGUGAUCCAAAAGGCUAAGUUGUGAGAUUUUUCGAGGGCAACGUGUUGGUGAGCUCAGAUAGUGAUUUGGAGUCCCCGUUUGAGCGGGGCAGCGUUUCGAGGACGUUCGGAAAGGAAAAGCUCCGGAGAAGUGAUUUUGGAGCGCGUGUGAUCGGCUUUAAGGUUCGGGCACUAGUAGCCAGCGUUGAUCGAGCUUAGAACAGACUGAUCCGGAGACAGGAGUAAGCACACGACGUUUUGUACUAUUUCAGUCUCCAUCUGUAUAUAUAGACU